GACGAACGCUGGCGGCGUGCUUAACACAUGCAAGUCGAACGGAAAGGCCCUUCGGGGUACUCGAGUGGCGAACGGGUGAGUAACACGUGGGUGAUCUGCCCUGCACUUUGGGAUAAGCCUGGGAAACUGGGUCUAAUACCGAAUAGGACCACGCGCUUCAUGGUGUGUGGUGGAAAGCUUUUGCGGUGUGGGAUGGGCCCGCGGCCUAUCAGCUUGUUGGUGGGGUAUUGGCCUACCAAGGCGACGACGGGUAGCCGGCCUGGGAGGGUGACCGGCCACACUGGGACUGAGAUACGGCCCAGACUCCUACGGGAGGCAGCAGUGGGGAAUAUUGCACAAUGGGCGCAAGCCUGAUGCAGCGACGCCGCGUGAGGGAUGACGGCCUUCGGGUUGUAAACCUCUUUCAAUAGGGACGAAGCGCAAGUGACGGUACCUAUAGAAGAAGCACCGGCCAACUACGUG
rnacentral:rRNA from 1 species